rnacentral:rRNA from 1 species
AGGUGAUCCUGGCUCAGGAUGAACGCUGGCGGCGUGCCUAAUACAUGCAAGUCGAGCGAACAGACGAGGAGCUUGCUCCUCUGACGUUAGCGGCGGACGGGUGAGUAACACGUGGAUAACCUACCUAUAAGACUGGGAUAACUUCGGGAAACCGGAGCUAAUACCGGAUAAUAAUAUUGAACCCGCAUGGUUCAAUAGUGAAAGACGGUUUUGCUGUCACUUAUAGAUGGAUCCGCGCCGCAUUAGCUAGUUGGUAAGGUAACGGCUUACCAAGGCAACGAUGCGUAGCCGACCUGAGAGGGUGAUCGGCCACACUGGAACUGAGACACGGUCCAGACUCCUACGGGAGGCAGCAGUAGGGAAUCUUCCGCAAUGGGCGAAAGCCUGACGGAGCAACGCCGCGUGAGUGAUGAAGGUCUUCGGAUCGUAAAACUCUGUUAUUAGGGAAGAACAAAUGUGUAAGUAACUAUGCACGUCUUGACGGUACCUAAUCAGAAAGCCACGGC